GAGAGAGAGAGAGAGAGAGAGAGAGAGAGAGAGAGAGAGAGAGAGAGAGAGAGAGAGAGAGAGAGAGAGAGAGAGAGAGAGAGAGAGAGAGAGUGUGUAUUAAUAGACCAGAAUGUAUAUAUAUACGUCCCUGUGCACGUAUAUACAAGUGUUUGGUCCCGACGUGCUUGGAGGAAGAGAGUGUUAAUAUACAUGCAUAUAUAUUUUUUUUUCUCUGACAAUUUCUGCAUUUAGAUGUUGUGGCUGCGUGUGUGUGAGGGCGUGGCGCGGGCGUGGAGUGCGCCGCCCUUUUGUAAACAAUGAUGUACUUUUAAUGUGCUUUUUGGGGCUCCGUGGGGUAAAUUUUGGCUUGGUUCACUCACCCACCCACACACACACACACACACACACACACACACACACACACACACACACACACACACACACACACACUAUCA